CUUCACCUUUCUUUCUUCAGUUUCAGGGUAGAAAGGGUCCCUUUAACUCCUGAAGACAGUAAAUCACAGUCUGUGUGGUGGUUCUCAGAAGACACUUAAAGGACUGAACUGGAUGCUCUACAUAGCACCCUUGCCAAAAGGGUUCGGAAAUGACUUCCAGCUUCCCACAGUAAUAAAAUGGCACUGUUUGGCAUCUUCGAGUUACAGACCACUUACUCUAAACUUCACAAAUGGUUCUGAAGAGUAUGGAGCCUACGUAGAUUCAUAAGGU
rnacentral:lncRNA from 1 species